rnacentral:rRNA from 1 species
AUUGAACGCUGGCGGCAUGCUUUACACAUGCAAGUCGAACGGCAGCACGGGGGCAACCCUGGUGGCGAGUGGCGAACGGGUGAGUAAUGCAUCGGAACGUGCCCUGUCGUGGGGGAUAACACAUCGAAAGAUGUGCUAAUACCGCAUACGACCUGAGGGUGAAAGCGGGGGACCGUAAGGCCUCGCGCGAUAGGAGCGGCCGAUGUCGGAUGAGCUGGUUGGUGGGGUAAAGGCCUACCAAGGCGACGAUCAGUGGCUGGUCUGAGAGGACGACCAGCCACACUGGGACUGAGACACGGCCCAGACUCCUACGGGAGGCAGCAGUGGGGAAUUUUGGACAAUGGGGGCAACCCUGAUCCAGCCAUGCCGCGUGCGGGAAGAAGGCCUUCGGGUUGUAAACCGCUUUUGGCAGGAACGAAACGGUGCGGGCGAAUACCCUGUGCUAAUGACGGUACCUGCAGAAUAAGCACCGGCUAACUACGUGCCAGCCGCCGCCGUAACAC